CGAACGGGUGAGUAACGCGUGAGUAACCUGCCUUACACAAGGGGAUAGCCUUUGGAAACGAAGAAUAAUACCCUAUAAAACUAUAAAAGCACAUGCUAGAAUGGUCAAAGUGCUAGCGGUGUAAGAUGGACUUGCGUCUGAUUAGCUAGUUGUGAGAUAAAAGCUCACCAAGGCAACGAUCAGUAGCCGGCUUGAGAGAGUGUACGGCCACAUUGGGACUGAGACACGGCCCAG
rnacentral:rRNA from 1 species